rnacentral:miRNA from 14 species
GGAAGGGCAUGAUAGCGGGUGAGUGUGUGUGUGUGUGUGAGUGUGUGUGUGUGGCAGAUCCCGCCUGCAUCAGGGGACCCAGACGCCUUCCCAAUCAGG